rnacentral:tmRNA from 1 species
GGGGCUGACUGGAUUUGACAGCAGGAUGAGGUGUUGUGUAAGCACGCAGAGAGUUGGCGACCGCUCUCUCUAAUCAAUGAUUGCCAAGAAUUUAUCUGGCGAAAACAACUACGCUCUCGCUGCCUAAUCGAAGUACAGUAGAUUUCUGGCUUUAUCUCGGCACCAGGUGCUGAGACGAGAUGUCACUCUGGAGCUGUUGCUCCGAAGCGUCCAGGCAAAGUGGCACAGCAAAAUCGGGGAUAGCCUGUAACUGCCUCGCGUUAUGGGUGAAACUUAGAGGAUAAGGUGCAGAUUGGUGGCCCAGGUCUUGUCUGCACUCGAAAACCGAAGGCUGGGAUAAGCGUGUAGAAAGCACAGGACGUCCCUGUUUGGACGAGGGUUCAAUCCCCUCCAGCUCCACU